AGGUCCUGCCUGCCCAGUGACUAUGUUAAACGGCCGCGGUAUUUUGACCGUGCAAAGGUAGCGCAAUCACUUGUCUUUUAAAUGAAGACCUGUAUGAAUGGUGGAACGAGGGCCUAACUGUCUCCCCUUUCAAGUCAAUGAAAUUGAUCUAUCCGUGCAGAAGCGGGUAUAUAACUACAAGACGAGAAGACCCUUUGGAGCUUAAGAUUAAAGAUCAACUAUGUCAAAUAUUUAUUAAAUAGAACUAAAUAGUAACUGAUCAUGAUCUUCGGUUGGGGCGACCACGGAAUAAAAAUAAACUUCCACAUGGACUGAGGACUAACCUUAAAACCAAGAAAGACAUUUCUAAGCCACAGAAUUUCUGACCACACAGAUCCGGCAAAUUGCCGAUCAAUGGACCAAGUUACCCUAGGGAUAACAGCGCAAUCCCCUUUCAGAGUUCCUAUCGACAAGGGGGUUUACGACCUCGAUGUUGGAUCAGGAC
rnacentral:rRNA from 2 species